rnacentral:rRNA from 1 species
UACAGAGGUCUCAAGCGUUGUUCGGAUUCAUUGGGCGUAAAGGGUGCGUAGGUGGCGCGCUAAGUCAGGUGUGAAAUUUCGGAGCUUAACUCCGAAACUGCAUUCGAUACUGCCGUGCUUGAGGACUGGAGAGGAGACUGGAAUUUACGGUGUAGCGGUGAAAUGCGUAGAUAUCGUAAGGAAGACCAGUGGCGAAGGCGGGGUCUCUGGACAGUUCCUGACGCUGAGGCACGAAGGCCAGGGGAGCAAACGGG